AAUUUGGGCUCCUUCCAGAGCUGAAAACUGAUUAUAAAUACGAAACAGAUUUCACUACUGGACUUGAAAUCCACAUAAAAAACAAGAAGAUCUUCAAUAUAAUUGAAAAAGGUCCUCACCAAAGAAUAGAUACAAUAUGACUGGCAGGACAUCAAGGAGUAAGAGAUUUGGGUAUGAGCUAUGACACAUAGCAGACAGUGAAAUGUUGAUGGAGUGAAAGAGGAAUCUGUCUCCCUGCAUCGUGGGAACUAUUCUGCGGCCGCAGGGCAGUGUGGAUGAGCCCUGGAAUCCUGCUACCUAUGGAAACUUCAGAAUUUGUUGAUUGUGGACAAUAGAGAGAGUCCUCCGGCUUUGGGCUUCUCUUCCUGGUGGUGGCCCUCAAGGAGAAGCCGCGUGCGCCCAUUUCAUCUUCAUGCAUUUUCCUCUUUAAGAACAGGUCAGUAUCAGUUUCCUCUGCCCCUGAGUUGGAAAGCUGGAGAAGGCAAACUUUCCCUCUGCCAAACUCAGUGCGAUUUUCAGACCCUCCUCUUUCCUCCAGACCCCUGUUCAAAGGACAACCUUGUGUUGCCCCCGCCCCACUCCUUUCUGCCUUAAAUGGGUCAAAAUACAUGCCGGAAAUGCGUUCAUGAUGAUUCAGAUCAGAAUAGAAGUGUUGUCCUGGGUGGUAUGAAUGACAAGGAGCAGAUUAUGAAGAUCCUGGGUAAGGCCACUGGUGGGAGGUGAGGGAUAGGCAUUUAGACUUCAUCAGCGGACAUUUGCAAGCUCAGACUUCAGUGCCCUGCGUCUGGGCCAGGCUGGGGAUG